AACGAACGCUGGCGGCAUGCCUAACACAUGCAAGUCGAACGAGACCUUCGGGUCUAGUGGCGCACGGGUGCGUAACGCGUGGGAACCUGCCCUUAGGUUCGGAAUAACUCCCCGACAGGGGUGCUAAUACCGGAUAAUGUCUUCGGACCAAAGAUUUAUCGCCUUUGGAUGGGCCCGCGUUGGAUUAGCUAGUUGGUAGGGUAAAAGCCUACCAAGGCGACGAUCCAUAGCUGGUCUGAGAGGAUGAUCAGCCACACUGGGACUGAGACACGGCCCAGACUCCUACGGGAGGCAGCAGUGGGGAAUAUUGGACAAUGGGCGAAAGCCUGAUCCAGCAAUGCCGCGUGAGUGAUGAAGGCCGUAGGGUUGUAAAGCUCUUUUACCCGGGAUGAUAAUGACAGUACCGGGAGAAUAAGCUCCGGCUAACUCCGUG
rnacentral:rRNA from 1 species